AAAGAAGUACGCCAUUAUUGUGCUUCUUAGUUCACUAUUUUCAUUCAUAUAUUGAGAAGUCAAUAUUUUCUGUAAUUUUUGUGGUUAUUUCUCUUCACCGCGGCAUGUCAACAACAUGUCCUGCGGUAGAUAAUUAAAAAGAAAGGGGCAUGUCACCCGGCAUUCCCGACACUUGUUGGCAGCGUGUCAGAGUCCUGUUAGUGUCCUAAAUGCGUCGGAGACUGACUCGCUGCUCCGUGCGCUUGUCGAUGUUUCGUAGGUAGGAUAUUGACUAGAAAAGGAAGGUGGCAAGGUCCUUGGGAUGAAGAAGUUGUUAUUUCUGGAGAAAUAAAGAAUAUCACCUCGAUCUAGUUGUGCUGUUACAAUCAAACAGUUGCGGACAUAGGGUAGUGAUAGCACAAAUGGUUGUCAAACUUCUCUUUUAUCUCACUAUUUAAUUUACCAGUUAUUCCAGUAAUUUCUUUACUAUGCAACAACUCUGGCUAAUUAUUUUGAGGAUGCUGAUUUUUGCCUUUUAUGUUAGUUUGCUGGCAGGAUGUUGAUGGAUGAUAUGUGAACAUAUGUUGUUACCUUGAGUGACCUUGUUUAUCAAUCUUUGAUUAUUUGGUGGACN
rnacentral:lncRNA from 1 species